UCAAAAGAAGUGCUUUCGCUUGAUGCGUGCAAUGGAUACCAACUCUGACAGAAAAUUAACAAGUAGUUUUUUU